ACAGAGGUCUCAAGUGUUGUUCGGAUUCAUUGGGCGUAAAGGGUGCGUAGGUGGCGACGCAAGUCUGGUGUGAAAUCCCGGGGCUCAACCCCGGAACUGCACUGGAUACUGCGUUGCUUGAGCACUGGAGAGGGAACUGGAAUUUACGGUGUAGCAGUGAAAUGCGUAGAUAUCGUAAGGAAGACCAGUGGCGAAGGCGACUUACUGGACACAUACUGACGCUGAGGUGCGAAAGCGUGGGGAGCAAACAGGA
rnacentral:rRNA from 1 species